GGUGAACGCUAGCUACAGGCUUAACACAUGCAAGUCGAGGGGCAGCAUUGGAGUAGCAAUACUUCAGAUGGCGACCGGCGCACGGGUGAGUAACACGUAUCCAACCUGCCGCUUACUCGGGGAUAGCCUUUCGAAAGAAAGAUUAAUACCCGAUGGUAUAAAGAGUUCGCAUGUUCUCUUUAUCAAAGAAUUUCGGUAAGCGAUGGGGAUGCGUUCCAUUAGAUAGUUGGCGGGGUAACGGCCCACCAAGUCUACGAUGGAUAGGGGUUCUGAGAGGAAGGUCCCCCACAUUGGAACUGAGACACGGUCCAAACUCCUACGGGAGGCAGCAGUGAGGAAUAUUGGUCAAUGGACGAGAGUCUGAACCAGCCAAGUAGCGUGAAGGAUGACUGCCCUAUGGGUUGUAAACUUCUUUUAUAAGGGAAUAAAGUGAGGGACGUGUCCCUUUUUGUAUGUACCUUAUGAAUAAGGAUCGGCUAACUCCGUGCCAGCCGCCGCCGUAACAC
rnacentral:rRNA from 1 species